AGUGAACGCUGGCGGUAGGCCUAACACAUGCAAGUCGAACGGCAGCACAGUAAGAGCUUGCUCUUACGGGUGGCGAGUGGCGGACGGGUGAGGAAUACAUCGGAAUCUACUUUUUCGUGGGGGAUAACGUAGGGAAACUUACGCUAAUACCGCAUACGACCUACGGGUGAAAGCAGGGGAUCUUCGGACCUUGCACAAUUGAAUGAGCCGAUGUCGGAUUAGCUAGUUGGCGGGGUAAAGGCCCACCAAGGCGACGAUCCGUAGCUGGUCUGAGAGGAUGAUCAGCCACACUGGAACUGAGACACGGUCCAGACUCCUACGGGAGGCAGCAGUGGGGAAUAUUGGACAAUGGGCGCAAGCCUGAUCCAGCCAUACCGCGUGGGUGAAGAAGGCCUUCGGGUUGUAAAGCCCUUUUGUUGGGAAAGAAAAGCAGCAGGUUAAUACCCCGCUGUUCUGACGGUACCCAAAGAAUAAGCACCGGCUAACUUCGUG
rnacentral:rRNA from 1 species